rnacentral:rRNA from 1 species
UACGGGGGGAGCAAGCGUUGUUCGGAUUUACUGGGCGUAAAGGGCCAGUAGGCGGCCAACUAAGUCCGACGUGAAAUCCCCAAGCUUAACUUGGGAACUGCGUCGGAUACUGGAUGGCUUGAAUUCGGGAGAGGGAUGCAGAAUUCCAGGUGUAGCGGUGAAAUGCGUAGAUAUCUAGAGGAAUACCGGUGGCGAAGGCGGCAUCCUGGACCGACAUUGACGCUGAACGGCGAAAGCUAGGGGAGCGAACAGG